GACGAACGCUGGCGGCGUGCCUAAUACAUGCAAGUAGAACGCUCAAGCAGGAGCUUUCUCUUCUGGAUGAGUUGCGAACGGGUGAGUAACGCGUAGGUAACCUGCCUGUUAGCGGGGGAUAACUAUUGGAAACGAUAGCUAAUACCCCAUAACAGUAGAUGUUGCAUGACAUUUGCUUAAAAGGUGCAAUUUCAUUACUACCAGAUGGACCUUCGUUGUAUUAGCUAGUUGGUGGUGUAACGGCUCACCAAGGCGACGAUACAUAGCCGACCUGAUGGGGGGAUCGGCCACACUGGGAAUGAGACACGGCCCAGACUCCUACGGGAGGGAGCAGUAGGGAAUCUUCGGCAAUGGACGGAAGGCUGAACGAGCAACGCCGCGUGAGGGAAGAAGGGUCUCGGAUCGUAAAGAUCUGUUGUAAGAGGAGAACGAGUGUGAGAGUGGAAAGUUCACACUGUGACGGUAUCUAACCAGAAAGGGACGGCUAACUACGUG
rnacentral:rRNA from 1 species